CUAUCGAUCGUGUUUAUAUAAUGACUCUUAUAUAUUAUUGAUAUUUAUAUUUUACAUGUUAAUACUUUUUUUUUUUAGAGAUAUAUAGUACGCUAUCUGUUUUGUUUAUUUUAUUUAGAAAAUAAACUUAGCUGGAAAUGUGAAUCAACUAGAAUUCGAACUUGAGUCUCAAGUACCAACCACCAAGUUCUUUGACACUUGCUCUAGGAAUGGUCAGUUUUAAUAUGUUAAUACUAAAGUAAAGUUAGAACAUUUCUAGUUAUAAAUAUGAGAUUUUAUUUAUAUUUUAUUACGGUACACAAUUUA
rnacentral:lncRNA from 1 species